GACGAACGCUGGCGGCGUGCUUAACACAUGCAAGUCGAACGGAAAGGCCCUGCUUUUGUGGGGUGCUCGAGGGGCGAACGGGUGAGUAACACGUGAGUAACCUGCCCUUGACUUUGGGAUAACUUCAGGAAACUGGGGCUAAUACCGGAUAGGAGCUCCUGCUGCAUGGUGGGGGGUGGAAAGUUUCGGCGGUUGGGGAUGGACUCGCGGCUUAUCAGCUUGUUGGUGGGGUAGUGGCUUACCAAGGCAUUGACGGGUAGCCGGCCUGAGAGGGUGACCGGCCACAUUGGGACUGAGAGACGGCCCAGACUGCUACGGGAGGCAGCAGUGGGGAAUAUUGCACAAUGGGCGGAAGCCUGAUGCAGCAACGCCGCGUGCGGGAUGACGGCCUUCGGGUUGUAAACCGCUGUCGCCUGUGACGAAGCGUGAGUGACGGUAAUGGGUAAAGAAGCACCGGCUAACUACGUG
rnacentral:rRNA from 1 species